GGCUUAUAAUUGAAGUCUAGUAUGAAUGGGAACUCGGGGAUAUUCUGUCCUUUAUUUACGAAUAGAAAUUACUAAUUAAGUGAAAAUUCUUAAACCUUUAGAAAAAAGACGAGAAGACCCUAGAAAUUUUUUAUUAUAUAUUUUGUUGGGGCGACAAGGUAACAUAAAACUUACCUAUACAAUAGGAAAUUUUUUAGUUGGGUAAAUAAAUUACUCUAGGGAUAACAGCAUAAUAUUUUAAAGUUUGUGACCUCGAUGUUGGACUAGGA
rnacentral:rRNA from 1 species